rnacentral:rRNA from 1 species
AACGCGAAGAACCUUACCAGGGUUUGACAUCUCGGGAAUCUUUCCGAAAGGAGAGAGUGCCUUUUAGGAACCCGAUGACAGGUGUUGCAUGGCCGUCGUCAGCUCGUGUCGUGAGAUGUUUGGUUAAGUCCAUUAACGAGCGUAACCCCUUUACUUAGUUAGAUUUCUCUAAGUAGACUGCCCCGGUAACGGGGAGGAAGGAGGGGAUGAUGUCAGGUCAGUAUUACCCUUACACCCUGGGCUAGAAACACGCUACAAUGGCCGGUACAAAGGGCAGCCAAGUCGUGAGACGGAGCAAAUCCCAUCAAAACCGGUCCCAGUUCGGAUUGUAGGCUGAAACCCGCCUGCAUGAAGCCGGAAUCGCUAGUAAUGGUAGGUCAGCACACUACCGUGAAUACGUUCCCGGGCCUUGUA